rfam:Helianthus annuus linkage group 4, whole genome shotgun sequence.
AGCCAUGUAAUAAGCACAAAGCGAACUAUUCUUUCGCCUUUUACUAAAGAAUACCGUGUGCUUGUUACAUUAAAUGGCAUACAUUAGUUUUUGGAGAGCCACUUCUAUUAUUGAAGAGC